UACGUAGGGUGCAAGCGUUGUCCGGAAUUAUUGGGCGUAAAGAGCUUGUAGGCGGUUUGUCGCGUCUGCUGUGAAAUUUCGGGGCUCAACCCCGAACUUGCAGUGGGUACGGGCAGACUAGAGUGUGGUAGGGGAGACUGGAAUUCCUGGUGUAGCGGUGAAAUGCGCAGAUAUCAGGAGGAACACCGAUGGCGAAGGCAGGUCGCUGGGCCGCUACUGACGCUGAGAAGCGAAAGCAUGGGGAGCGAACAGG
rnacentral:rRNA from 1 species